GGGCCCGCACAAGCGGUGGAGCAUGUGGUUUAAUUCGAUGAUACGCGAGGAACCUUACCAGGGCUUAAAUGCAGUUGGACAGGUCUGGAAACAGACCCUUCUUCGGACUAAUUGCAAGGUGCUGCAUGGUUGUCGUCAGCUCGUGCCGUGAGGUGUCAGGUUAAGUCCUAUAACGAGCGCAACCCCUGUGGUUAGUUGCCAGCGAGUCAUGUCGGGAACUCUAGCCAGACUGCCAGUGCAAACUGUGAGGAAGGUGGGGAUGACGUCAAAUCAUCACGGCCCUUACGUCCUGGGCCACACACGUGCUACAAUGGUAGGGACAGAGGGCAGCUACCCCGCGAGGGGAUGCGAAUCUUUAAACCCUAUCACAGUUCGGAUCGCAGUCUGCAACUCGACUGCGUGAAGCUGGAAUCGCUAGUAAUCG
rnacentral:rRNA from 1 species